rfam:Leishmania infantum JPCM5 genome chromosome 33
UGCCGCCUGCACCUUCCGGGCAGGAUGCCGCCCUUGCGCCCUUGGCGACUGUGUCCAAUCGGUGGUGCGAGAU